AUUGAACGCUGGCGGCAGGCUUAACACAUGCAAGUCGAGCGGAGAUGAGGUGCUUGCACCUUAUCUUAGCGGCGGACGGGUGAGUAAUGCUUAGGAAUCUGCCUAUUAGUGGGGGACAACAUUCCGAAAGGAAUGCUAAUACCGCAUACGUCCUACGGGAGAAAGCAGGGGAUCUUCGGACCUUGCGCUAAUAGACGAGCCGAAGUCGGAUUAGCUAGUUGGGGGGGUAAAGGCCUACCAAGGCGACGAUCUGUAGCGGGUCUGAGAGGAUGAUCCGCCACACUGGGACUGAGACACGGCCCAGACUCCUACGGGAGGCAGCAGUGGGGAAUAUUGGACAAUGGGGGGAACCCUGAUCCAGCCAUGCCGCGUGUGUGAAGAAGGCCUUAUGGUUGUAAAGCACUUUAAGCGAGGAGGAGGCUACUGAGACUAAUACUCUUGGAUAGUGGACGUUACUCGCAGAAUAAGCACCGGCUAACUCUGUGCCAGCAGCCGCCGCCG
rnacentral:rRNA from 1 species